rnacentral:rRNA from 1 species
CAGUCGCCGCGGGAACACGAAGGGGGCUAGCGUUGUUCGGAAUUACUGGGCGUAAAGCGCACGUAGGCGGAUAUUUAAGUCAGGGGUGAAAUCCCAAGGCUCAACCUUGGAACUGCCUUUGAUACUGUUUGUCUUGAGUUCGAGAGAGGUAAGUGGAACUGCGAGUGUAGAGGUGAAAUUCGUAGAUAUUCGCAAGAACACCAAUGGCGAAGGCAGCCCCCUGGGAUAACACUGACGCUCAUGCACGAAAGCGUGGGGAGCAAACAGGAUUAGAUACCCCUGUAGUCCCUGUCUCUUAUAC